GCUGACGGUGCCUCCGCGAGGAGGUGAAAAGGGAACGCGGUGCGGGCUUGCUUUGCCCAAUGCCGCGGCUGCCCCCGCAACUGUAAGCGGAUAUCCUUCGCCAUCGGCCACUGGAGCGCAAACUCCGGGAAGGCGGCACGGGGCGCCAAAUCCGCGAGCCAGGAGACCUGCCGUCAA
rnacentral:ncRNA from 1 species